GGUUAAGUGACUAAGCGUACACGGUGGAUGCCUUGGCAGUCAGAGGCGAUGAAGGACGUAUUAACUUGCGAUAAGCCCAGAUUAGGUAGUAAAAACCACUUGAGUCUGGGAUUUCCGAAUGGGGAAACCCACUUACAUAAGUAAGUAUCGUUAUGUGAAUACAUAGCAUAACGAGGCGAACCGGGGGAACUGAAACAUCUAAGUACCCCGAGGAAAAGAAAUCAACCGAGAUUCCGAAAGUAGCGGCGAGCGAAAUUGGACUAGCCCUUAAGCUUUAUAGGCGUCAGGUGAACAAGCUGGAAAGCUUGGCGAUACAGGGUGAUAGCCCCGUAACUGACGACGCAU
rnacentral:rRNA from 1 species